rnacentral:rRNA from 1 species
CACGUAGGCGGACUGAAAAGUUGGAGGUGAAAUCCCAGGGCUCAACCUUGGAACUGCCUUCAAAACUAUCGGUCUGGAGUUCGAGAGAGGUGAGUGGAAUUCCGAGUGUAGAGGUGAAAUUCGUAGAUAUUCGGAGGAACACCAGUGGCGAAGGCGGCUCACUGGCUCGAUACUGACGCUGAGGUGCGAAAGCGUGGGGAGCAAACA